AUGUUGUUGCAAUAGUAAUUGAACUUUGUCCUCGAGGAACCGUUCAUUCGGAUAAUUGGUAUUUGGGCCUGCCUGAGCAAGCAGUGGCCCGAAGCUAUCAUCCGUUGGAUUAUGGCUGAACGCCUCUAAGUCAGAAUCCGUGCUAGAACGCGACGAUUACCGCCUUGUGCUAUUUUUAGUUGAAUACGAAUAGACCCACGGUCCUGAAUCUUACGAACGUGGAAUCAAUCUUGCAGAGCGGAAAGGCUUUGUGAGGUUCCUGCUAAUGUUAAUUUCAAAUAUAGCACGAGAUAAAUCCGUUGCAGACGACUUUAAUUGAACGGGGUAUUGUAAGCAGUAGAGUAGCCUUGUUGCUACGAUCUGCUGAGAUUAAGUCCAUUGUUCUAUAGAUUU
rnacentral:ncRNA from 1 species